rnacentral:lncRNA from 1 species
AAAUUGCCCAAACGCAGUGGUGAGCAGGAAGCAAGGAAAACCAAGAUGGAACAAGAACUUCUAUCAGACCCAUGACCACAUUUCCCCAGACUUGGAGGAAUCUGGGGAAUGGUGCACCUGGGAGACUCCUGGCCUCUGUAAUAACCCUCAUGUAGCACAGAAGGCAGAGAAACAGCAACCCCACCAGGCUUCCCAGGCCUGAGGAACAAAGAGGGCCUGGACAGCGAGCAUCUCAGCAGGAACUGAGACGAACGGUGGCUUGAAGGGUGGGGACGCCUUCCUGCAUCUUUUUCUCUGGUGGAGAAGACAGAGAGGCCUUUGCUCUCUUUCCUGGAGCUGAGGUUUGGACAGUGAGGAGAAGCUCCAAAAGAAACUGAGAGUGAAUUACUGUACCCAUCAGAAUCAAGUCUCCAAGUAAGAUUUAACUUAAUUUAGAAGAAAGGUAAC